AUUGAACGCUGGCGGCAUGCUUUACACAUGCAAGUCGAACGGCAGCGCGGGCUUCGGCCUGGCGGCGAGUGGCGAACGGGGGAGUAAUACAUCGGAACGUGCCCAGUAGUGGGGGAUAGCUCGGCGAAAGCCGGAUUAAUACCGCAUACGACCUGAGGGUGAAAGCGGGGGGUCUUCGGACCUCGCGCUAUUGGAGCGGCCGAUGGCAGAUUAGCUAGUUGGUUGGGUAAAGGCCUACCAAGGCGACGACCUGUAGCUGGUCUGAGAGGACGACCAGCCACACUGAGACUGUGACAUGGCCCGGAUCCCUACGGGAGGCAGCAAUUGGGAAUGUUGGGCGAUGGGCGAAAGCCUGAUCCAGCAAUGCCGCGUGUGUUAUGCAGCCCUUCGGGUUGUAAAGCACUUAUGGCGGGAACGAAAAGGACUGUGCCAAUACCACGCUUAGAUGACGGUACCCGCAGAAUAAGCACCGGCUAACUACGUG
rnacentral:rRNA from 1 species